AACAGGAUUAGAUACCCUGGUAGUCCACGCCGUAAACGAUGUCGACUUGGAGGUUGUGCCCUUGAGGCGUGGCUUCCGGAGCUAACGCGUUAAGUCGACCGCCUGGGGAGUACGGCCGCAAGGUUAAAACUCAAAUGAAUUGACGGGGGCCCGCACAAGCGGUGGAGCAUGUGGUUUAAUUCGAUGCAACGCGAAGAACCUUACCUGGUCUUGACAUCCACGGAAGUUUUCAGAGAUGAGAAUGUGCCUUCGGGAACCGUGAGACAGGUGCUGCAUGGCUGUCGUCAGCUCGUGUUGUGAAAUGUUGGGUUAAGUCCCGCAACGAGCGCAACCCUUAUCCUUUGUUGCCAGCGGUCCGGCCGGGAACUCAAAGGAGACUGCCAGUGAUAAACUGGAGGAAGGUGGGGAUGACGUCAAGUCAUCAUGGCCCUUACGACCAGGGCUACACACGUGCUACAAUGGCGCAUACAAAGAGAAGCGACCUCGCGAGAGCAAGCGGACCUCAUAAAGCGCGUCGUAGUCCGGAUUGGAGUCUGCAACUCGACUCCAUGAAGUCGGAAUCGCUAGUAAUCGUGGAUCAGAAUGCCACGGUGAAUACGUUCCCGGGCCUUGUACACACCGCCCGUCACACCAUAGGAGUGGGUUGCAAAAGAAGUAGGUAGCUUAACCUUCGGGAGGGCGCUUACCACUUUGUGAUUCAUGACUGGGGUGAAGUCGUAACAAGGUAACC
rnacentral:rRNA from 1 species